rnacentral:rRNA from 1 species
CCGACGAUACCCGAAUGGGGAAACCCAGUGCAAUACGUUGCACUAUCGUUAGAUGAAUACAUAGUCUAACGAGGCGAACCGGGGGAACUGAAACAUCUAAGUACCCCGAGGAAAAGAAAUCAACCGAGAUUCCCCCAGUAGCGGCGAGCGAACGGGGAGGAGCCCAGAGUCUGAAUCAGUUUGUGUGUUAGUGGAAGCGUCUGGAAAGUCGCACGGUACAGGGUGAUAGUCCCGUACACCAAAAUGCACAGGCUGUGAACUCGAUGAGUAGGGCGGGACACGUGACAUCCUGUCUGAAUAUGGGGGGACCAUCCUCCAAGGCUAAAUACUCCUGACUGACCGAUAGUGAACCAGUACCGUGAGGGAAAGGCGAAAAGAACCCCGGCGAGGGGAGUGAAAUAGAACCUGAAACCGUGUACGUACAAGCAGUGGGAGCACCUUCGUGGUGUGACUGCGUACCUUUUGUAUAAUGGGUCAGCGACUUAUAUUUUGUAGCAAGGUUAACCGAAUAGGGGAGCCGUAGGGAAACCGAGUCUUAACUGGGCGUCUAGUUGCAAGGUAUAGACCCGAAACCCGGUGAUCUAGCCAUGGGCAGGUUGAAGGUUGGGUAACACUAACUGGAGGACCGAACCGACUAAUGUUGAAAAAUUAGCGGAUGACUUGUGGCUGGGGGUGAAAGGCCAAUCAAACCGGGAGAUAGCUGGUUCUCCCCGAAAGCU